rnacentral:rRNA from 1 species
GACGAACGCUGGCGGCGUGCUUAACACAUGCAAGUCGAACGAAGUGGCGAACGGGUGAGUAACGCGUAAUCAACCUGCCCUUCAGAGGGGGACAACAGUUGGAAACGACUGCUAAUACCGCAUACUGAAGGAGGGGAUUGCGUCUGAUGAGCUAGUGGGAGGGGUAACGGCCCACCAGGGAGAUGAUGAGUAGCGGGUAUGGGAGGAGGAACGGCCACAUUGGGACUGAGACACGGCACAGACGCCUAAGGGAGGCAGCAGUGGGGAAACUGCCGCAAUGGACGAAAGUCUGACGGAGCAACGCCGCGUGAGUGAUGAGGGCCUUCGGGUUGGAAAGCUCUGUUAAUCGGGACGCGGUACCGGAAUAGAAAGCCACGGCUAACUACGUGCCAGCAGCCGCGGUAAUAC